rnacentral:lncRNA from 1 species
UAAAUGACUUCCACCGAUGCAAUUCAAACGCCAAACCUCCUAAUCUUUGGUGAUGUUUUUAACUACUUCGUCUACCUAAUUGAGGCCACAAACUUGCAAAAAUAAUGAUAAUGAAAAGUUCGUCAACUGACGAAACUAUGGUCCGUAACGAACCUGGAUAAAUCUAGACGACUUUUCGUGAAAUUCGCGAGAAAUGUGAAAUCAAGAGUAGCACUGUAAAACAUAGUAAUCCUGGGGAUGUUUUACAAUAUUUCAUCGUUUGGGAUGUCCUAGGAUUAGUUCCCGUGGUUUUAUUCAGUGUUAUGUAUUAUUUUCUACUAGAAAUUCACCUUUUUUGGACCUCUACACCGCUGACCAGGUUCACCUCCUGCCUGGUUACCCUAGCAACGCAUCGGGCUCUCUCCAGGUAGUGUUUUACGUUCAGCAGCCCCUUGGACUCUUCAUCGGAGAUGCUGCGGUCCUGCCUCGCGACAUUCUGGUACACAUUGUUAAAACUAACAAGUCCACGCUCGAGACAGCUAUCGGAGCAAACAUCUCUGACGUAGAAGCUUGGUCCAAACCGACUGAGUCACCAACAGUGGGGUCAGCCGAGCCAAGCAGCAAUGACUGGAAGUGGAUUGCGAUUGGUAUUGGUGCAGGAGUGGUCGUUAUCAUCUUGAUAGUUAUAUUGGUGUUUUGGUGCCUGAAAAAGAAAGUCAAAUCUGAGGUGAAUCCUGUGAUGGAACUUUCGCCUCCAGAAGGAACACCUAUGGAAAAUUACGGCCAGUCAGUUUCAAGCCUGGAAUAUGGAGUUCACAAAGAGAAGGCGUCACACCAAACUUAAAAGAAAAGAUAACAGCGUUUUCCGAACGUCGCUGCUUAUUUACCUAUUUCGUUAACGUAUUUCCAUCUUUGUGCAUAGUAGCACGAUACGAGACGAGUUAACCAACUCAGCAAUUUUUUAAAGCCUUUAGCGGCAGACGUGGUAUCCUAGAGUAAUCUCGAACCCUGAUUGCCACGGCCAAGCGUGAAACAGCCCGAGGGCGAGAUUAGUGGGACCUGGGUACGACAUUAAGACUAAGCAUAGCGCGUUGGAUAGUCAUGCAUUAUUUUGACUUUACUCUCACGAUCCCUUUCCCCAGCCAGGAGAUAUAACAAGAAAUAGACACCGGUGAGCUCUUGUAGCGCCCUAACAAAAUGCGAAGGGUGGGAAGUAACCUACGGAGUCGUAAAAGUAAAUAGCCAGCAGUUGUGGGGUCUUAGGUUCUUAAACACUUACCUUUUCACCUUUCAGGACCCGCGAACAUACCACGGGUUCUUGAGUCAGCUGUUUAUCAUAAGGAUGAGCCAUGUUGCCUAGCAAACUCCUGUCAAGAAAACCACGGGCUCAAUUUAACAUUGCUAUUAGCCUGUCAGUGUUACGACUGUGAAAUCUGUAUUAACUGCUGCAGUUUAACCCUGUUUCGAUUCCUGCACCGGUUUUGGUAAUUGUAGUUGUAGUAGUAGUGUUAGGUCGUGCAAUUUGUACACUAAAAUACACAGGCGACGCUCUCCUAAUAAGUACCCCCACUAGGCGGAAACCUCCCGUAAGCGAACACUUAGUAAUGAUCCCAACCACUGCAUUUCUAACCUCGCAUAUGCGGGCUCUACUGUUAAAAUUAAGCGGACACUUUUUCUAGUCCCAACGGUGUCCGCUUACAGAAGGUUCGACUGUACUUUCAUAUUUUCGUGCAUGGAGACGUCUCUAAAUUUCUACUUGUAGAUCUUCACACAAUCGUAGGCGACUAUAGUUACGAGUGAUUUCGCUGUAUUAAUAUGGUAUCAUAACACAAAAAUAGAUCUGAGCUGUUUUGCGUGUGAUCACUUAAAACUCUUUUGAGAAGUAGUCUCCCUGUGGUUUACGGAGUGUACAUAUGAGGCAGGCAAUAUCUUUUGGCUCUUUUUUGUUGUAGUUACAUUAUUAAGGGGAGGGGGAAAUCUUUAAGUGACUUGAGACCUGCCUAGCUUGGGACUUGUAACUUUUAACUUAGUCAUCCCCGGAAAAUAGUGCCACUGAAGUCUAGAGAGCGGUCAGGAUCCUCUAAAACCCCUCUAUUAGUAAGUACCUUUGAGAAGUAAGAGAUACAAACUAGAUAGAACUUUUGGCGAACGACUUCUUUAAAACACACCAGACAGUUGAGUUUGUGAGUCCAGGAAGGAAAUAGUUUAAACUUCAACGCGGGAGAACUAGGUGAUGCGCUUUAAAUUUACAGGCUAUAAGUUCUAAUUAUCAAAAUUUGUUUUACUAGGACGGUUUUCCUUUUAGGAAAGACAGCUUUCUUAACAAUGAUUGAAGAAUCUCAACAAAACAAAAAUGGAAAUUCCACUAUAUUGCGGUUUUUUAAAUUUUUCGCUGGUUCUCUGUUCCAUUAUUCCUAAUGUAGAUUUUCAUUUUGAUUAUCGUUCAGAUUUAGAAAACAGCCCAAAUAAAAUGCGCUGAUUGACUAAAUAACACUGAAACUUGAAUCGUAGGUUACCACAGAGUGCAAAUUCAAACACAGGUAAUAUCAGCGUCACAGUCAGUCAGUGUAUCUACAAAAACAACCCAUGAGUUAAAGGCUAGAAAGUCAUUAAUGACAGUGGUGUAUAUAGUGGGUUUGCUUUGGCUGUUAUUGCCAUUUUCUUGUGUUCUUGUAAGCCAGCUUAUUGUAGGACCCAAACCAUCUCUAAGAACAGCUUAUGGUAUAACAGCGACAGCGGUAUUUGCAAAUUAAAUUGUAAAUCCUGGACUCUACUGUUGACGAAUUGGGGAAACGUGAAGUUUUUUUAGUUGAUAGUGUGAUGUUGAGGUGUAACGUUUCCCGCGGUUCUGAGGGUCGCGCGCCUGGCGUUCUCCUUUGAAAACUAUUAUCAGAUUUCUUUCAAUCUCCCCUAAUAAAAUAAAACUGUUAUUUUAGGGCAAAA